GUUGUUGUCGCCGAGUGGUUAAGGCGAUGGUCUUGAAAUCUAUUGGGUCCUCCCCUCGCAGGUUCGAGUCCUGCCGACAACG